GCUGCGCGGCGUGCGCUCAACGAAGAGGGCGACGGCGUGGACAGCAAUGGCGCCCGGCAAGUGCGCAGGGGCCGGGGCUAGCUGCGCGGCGUGCGCUCAACGAAGAGGGCGACGGCGUGGACAGCGAUGGCGCCCCGGAGCCUCGCGCGGGGAGCUGCGGACCUGGGCGUCGCCAACGAUAAGGGCGUGCUUGGCGGGCUGGCGGCGGGCGCGGCGGCGAGCGUGCUCG
rnacentral:lncRNA from 1 species